UAGAUACCCUAUUAUAUUUAGUGUUAAUGAUUCACCUGGGUAGUAUUAGUUAUGUUCUUGAAACCCAAAGAAUUUGGCGGUAUUUUAGUCUUUUUAGAGGAACCUGUUCUGUAAUCGAUAUUCCACGAUUUUAUUAACUUAUCCUUGUUUUCAGCUUUUAUAUCUCCGUCAUAAGAAUAUUUUUUUAGAAUGAAUUUUCUUAAUUGUCUAAUACAAUUAUGUCAGGUCAAGGUGAAGCUAAUGGUUAAGUAGAAAUGGGUUACAAUAAAUUUAUUUAUACGGAUUAUUUACUUUUUAUUGGGUAUGAAGGUGGAUUUAAAAGUAAAUUUAAUUAAUUAAUUUUUUUGAUUUUAGCUCUAAAAUAUGU
rnacentral:rRNA from 1 species